GGGUUAGGUUAGUUGGAAGUAGAUCUACUUGAGUUUGACCCUUAUGACUAAGAAAAAUUAGGAUGCUUCCUCCAUCCUGGAUUGUACGUUGAUGCAUAGGAGUCAUUUGUGGGUCAGUGAUAAGCAGCGUUGAUCGGUGUUACUUCAUUCUCGAUUGGGCCCAUCAAGAAGGGACAUACUUUCAUUGUGUGGUUUGUGGCAUCACACCCAUUGCAAGUGGAUGUUGAAACUUGGUUCACCUAAGUAUGUCCUUGGAGUUCUAAGGCUUCAAUUCUUUGGAUUAGGUUAGCAAUUUUGGCUUCGAUAGCUAGGGAAGGUUGAACUUGAUGUACUCCUCAUCUUAAAGGUGUGAGUC
rnacentral:lncRNA from 1 species